rnacentral:tRNA from 1 species
AAGAUGUUAGUAAGACCAUUACAUAGCCUUGUCGAGGCUAAAUCACAGAUGAAAACCCUGUACAUCUUA